AACUUAUAUUUGAUGAAAAAUGGAAUCUCAGCAGUGCCACCAGUAAAUUAUUUUAUCAGAUAUUGUGUCUACCAUUGUUCUGGAAAGUGUAAAAUAGCAUGAUACAGGCCCUUUCAGAUGGUACAACUGGCCCAAUUUAGAUUAGCAGUUAGCUCUCAAUAAUCUAAGUUUCUUCAAACUAAGGUUGAUCAAGGAGCCAUCAGCAGGCAUAGUUCAUGACCUUUCUACACAAAAAAAGACCUGAAAUGUUGUUUUAACUUUGCACAAAAAAGUCCUUAACUUACACUGCGUGGGUUUUUCAGUAACUUAAAGGUAUAUUUUGAUCUCUGUGUUCAUGAACAUAGUUUCAGAAUAUGAACAAAAUUUCAAAACAAAGACCAAGAAGCAGGAAAUAAACAAAAAGGGAGUAAAAUUUAAGAUUGUCUGUUAAUUCCUUUACAACACACGAUUGUGGGACAUUUCCAAAGCUUUGCACUCAAGAAAAGCAGCAAUAAUGACAUCAGGAUUAUGCCAUAAAACCCUGUUUUCUUUGUUUUUGUUAAAUGCGUGUAGGCUGUAGAGGCCCAGUCAUUUUAGCUCACACUCCUCUCUGACUAACACAGCAUUUCUGCUUCUAGCUGCUUCUGAGUCCUCAAGUGCGUCUGUAGAAACGUUCAGGGGGUGUCUCCUCCACGUCAUCAGCUGUGCCAGAGAGGCCGCUGAUGAAAACUGUGGCAAUGUUCUGCUUGCGUCGUAUGAAGGGCGCCAUUAGUCAGCCUUAAAGAGACAAACUGUCUCUCUGGAGCUAUUAAUAGGCACACAGGCGGCCUUAUAUUCCCUGGAGAACGCUGACCACUGGAGUGUUUGAAGCCAGCACCCACCCCUAAGAAAAUAUCCCAGUUUUUCUGCUCAUUUCCUCCCCACCCUACACUCUGCAGAAAGCCAUGUACUGUGACAAAUUGUUCAGAAACGUUAUUUUUAGCCUUGAGCAACCAAAGCCUUCUAUAUGUGACCGGUGCAAAGAAUCAGAAUGUAGACACUGCCAGGGCAAUGAAGCUGAACCAAGUUUUGUACCCCGAUCAGGUGAGAGUGAACUUCUCUGAGAUGUUUGGCCAUUGAGUCAUCCAUCAGUUAUUGGUGCACAGCUGGUUUAACACAUGAGUAAAAUGUUGUUGUCUGGUUUCACUGAAAAAUAAUUGUGCUACUCAUCAUUUCACAUAAAGGUGAAUGUUGGUUUUCUAACAAAGCAAAAGUCAGUAGUCACUGAAUUUCUGGUCAUUUUUGAAGGUUGUGGAAAAUAAGUAGGGAUGCAACAAUAUCACUUUUUUUCAAACCGAUACGAUACCGAUACUUGGAUCUGAGUACUCACCAAUACCGAUUACUGGUAACGAUAUUUCUAUCACACAAAAAAUGAUAUGAAUUGGAAUUCAGGUUUUAUUUUCUUCUCUGCUUUCAACAGGAAAAGACUGUGAGGUAGAUAAAACGUAAAAUAUAUGAAUAGAAAUUCUCACAAAACUAAAAUAUUAGGUGAACAGAAUUGACAAGUUACAGUGAAGCCCCUUUCAAGCAAAUGGAUUGGUAUCGGUUACUGGUAUUGGUUAACUUUUACCGAUACCGGUACUGGUAUCGGUAUUGCUAUCGACACAGAUUCCAAUACCGAUACGGGAAUCGGUAUUGGAAUCUGUGCAUCCCUAAAAAUAAGUACACUUUUCCCAAAAAUAUUGCUUUGCAUAAAUGCAGAAACAUAACAGACGUGUGUCAUGAAAUAUUGUAAACAUUUAUUUUUUAAUAUAUUUUUAAAAAUAUUUUUCUAAUCAAGAUAAAAACAUCACCAUAAAAGCAUCUAUGUGAAUCAUUGUUAGCUAUUUUAUGAGGAUGUUUUUUUUUUAUCAGGCCCCAAACUAGAACCCAAGUUUAAAAAAUAUUUUUGGCAAUUACCAGAUACAUUUUUAUAUUACUUUGUUUUUUCUCCGGGUUUUACAAUUUUCUCCUGCCUGUCCAGUUUUCUUCAGGUACUGCGAUUUUCUAAGGAUACUGUAGUUCUUCAACAAGUACUCUUGUUUUCUACAGAAACUCUGAUUUACUCCUAACAGUCCAGUUUUCUCCGGGUACUGUGGUUUUCUCCCAGCGCUCCGAUUUUUUCCAGGUGGUAUUCAGUGGGUACGAAAAGUUUAGACUCCCACCAAAUUUUCACUCUUUGUUAUAUUGCAGCCAUUUGCUAAAAUCAUUUAAAUUAUAUUUUCCUCAUUUAUGUACACACAGUACCCCAUAGGCAGAGUGGCCCAUUGGAAGCUUCUCCUCAGUGCAAGACACAUCAAAGCCUGCAUGGAGUUUGCUAAAAGACACCUGAAGUACCCUGAGAUGCUGCAGGGACAAGAGGACUGGUUGCAAUGGAGGGAACAAUGAAUGUGGCCAAGUACAGGGAUAUCCUGGACAAGAACCUUCUCCAGAGUGCUCAGGACCUCAGACUGGGCCGAAGAUUUGCCUUCCAACAUGACAAUGACCCUAAGCACGCGGCUCAAAUAACAAAGGAGUGGCUUCAUGGCAACUCUGCGGCUGUUCUUGAAUGGCCCAACCAGAGCCCUGACUUAUCGUGUGUUCCAGUUGUCCUCGAAACUCGGAAUUUCCGAGCAGGAAAUGAUGUAACGGGCUUGUCUUGUGUUCCAGUUUCCAACUCGGAAAAAAUGGAUGCCACCAUUGUUGUUGAGUACUAAACCAAAAGAAUUAUAUAACCAAGCAUUCCCCGCACCUAAAUAAUAUUGACACACAUGCCCUUCAACAGUCGCCACAUACAACCAGAAAAACAUUACAAUUCAAAUGUAAAUAAGUAAACGCCAGGGAAAGUACAACCAUAAACACCGAUCAAUUUUGGCAGCAAUGUUACAUUUUUCAACAGCGUAACUAUUAAUAACAACAAACAACUUACUGGUGCUGUUAAAUAGCAAAAAAAAAAACAAAAAAAAAAACAGAA